rnacentral:lncRNA from 1 species
CAGAGAACAAACCCCCUUUGACUGUAAUUUUCCUUUACCUACCCAAAUCCUAUAAAAUGGCCCCACCCUUAUCUCCCUUUGCUGACUCUCUUUUCGGACUCAGCCCGCCUGCACCCAGGUGAAAUAAACAGCCAUGUUGCUCACACAAAGCCUGUUUGGUGGUCUCUUCACAUGGAUGCGCAUGAAAUUUGGUGCUGUGACCCGGAUCGGGGGACCUCCCUUGGGAGAUCAAUCCCCUGUCCUCCUGUUCUUUGCUCCAUGAGAAAGAUCCACCUAUGACCUCAGGUCCUCAGACCAACCAGCCCAAGGAACAUCUCACCAAUUUUAAAUCAGAUCUUCUUGGCUUAGCGGCUGAAGACUGACACUGCCCGAUCACCUCGGAAGCCCCCUAGACCAUCACGGCGGACGCCGAGCUUCAGGUAACUCUCACAGUGGAAGAAGGCAGGAAUGUCAGGCCUCUGAGCCCAAGCCAAGCCAUCGCAUCCCCUGUGACUUGCACGUAUAUGCCCAGAUGGCCUGAAGUAACUGAAGAAUCACAAAAGAAGCGAAUAUGCCCUGCCCCGCCUUAACUGAUGACAUUCCACCAUUGUGAUUUGUUCCUGCCCCACCUUAACUGAGUGAUUAACCCUGCGAAUUUCCUUCUCCUGGCUCAGAAGCUCCCCCACUGAGCACCUUGUGACCCCCACCCCUGCCCACCAGAGAACAACCCCCUUUGACUGUAAUUUUCCAUUACCUUCCCAAAUCCUAUAAAACGGCCCCACCCCUAUCUCCCUUUGCUGACUCUCUUUUCGGACUCAGUCUACCUGCACCCAGGUGAAAUAAACAGCUUUAUUGCUCACACAAA